AGCAGUCGCCGCGGUAAUACAGAGGGUGCGAGCGUUAAUCGGAUUUACUGGGCGUAAAGCGUGCGUAGGCGGCUUCUUAAGUCGGAUGUGAGAUCCCUGAGCUUAACUUAGGAAUUGCAUUCGAUACUGGGAAGCUAGAGUAUGGGAGAGGAUGGUAGAAUUCCAGGUGUAGCGGUGAAAUGCGUAGAGAUCUGGAGGAAUACCGAUGGCGAAGGCAGCCAUCUGGCCUAAUACUGACGCUGAGGUACGAAAGCAUGGGGAGCAAACAGGAUUAGAUACCCGUGUAGUCCCUGUCUCUUAUAC
rnacentral:rRNA from 1 species